rnacentral:rRNA from 1 species
UGGGGAAUCUUGCACAAUGGGGGAAACCCUGAUGCAGCGACGCCGCGUGAGCGAUGAAGCCCUUCGGGGUGUAAAGCUCUUUCGGCAGGAACGAUUAUGACGGUACCUGCAGAAGAAGCUGCGGCUAACUACGUGCCAGCAGCCGCGGUAAUACGUAGGCAGCGAGCGUUGUUCGGAGUUACUGGGCGUAAAGAGUAUGUAGGCGGUUGCGUAAGUUCGGUGUGAAAUCUCCCGGCUUAACUGGGAGGGUGCGCCGAAAACUGCGUGGCUAGAGUGCGGGAGAGGAGAGCGGAAUUCCUGGUGUAGCGGUGAAAUGCGUAGAUAUCAGGAGGAGCACCGGCGGUGUAGACGGCUCUCUGGACCGUUACUGACGCUGAGAUACGAAAGCGUGGGUAGCAAACA